rnacentral:rRNA from 1 species
GGUAAAAAAGCUCGUAGUUGGAUUUCUGUUGAGGACGACCGGUCCAUACCACGUAUGCGCAUCUGGCUCGGCCUCGGCAUCCUUUCGAAAGACGUUUCUGCGCUUGAUUGCGUGGAGCGGAUCUCGGAACUUUUACUUUGAGGAAAUUAGAGUGUUCACGGCAGGCUAUCGCCAGAAUACAUUAGCAUGGAAUAAUACUAUAGGAUCUUGGUUCUAUUUUGUUGGUUUCUAGAAUUGAGAUAAUGAUUAAUAGGGACAAUUGGGGGCAUUCGUAUUAACACGUCAGAGGUGGAAUUCUUGGAUUGUGUUACGACGAACUACUGCGAAAGCAUUUGCCAAGGAUGUUUUCAUUGAUCAAGAACGAAAGUAAGGGGAUCGAAGACGAUUAGAUACCGUCGUAGUCUUUACCAUAAACUAUGCCAACUAGAGAUCCGGCAUCGUUCACUUACGACUUGCUGGGCACCUUAUGGAUACUAAAGUCUUUGGGUUCCGGGGGGAGUAUGGUCGCAAGGCUGAAACUUAAAGGAAUUGACGGAAGGGCACCACCAGGAGUGGAGCCUGCGGCUUAAUUUGACUCAACACGGGGAAACUCACCAGGUCCAGACAUAAUAAGGAUUGACAGAUUGAUAGCUCUUUCUUGAUUUUAUGGGUGGUGGUGCAUGGCCGUUCUUAGUUCGUGGAGUGAUUUGUCUGCUUAAUUGCGUUAACGAACG